rnacentral:antisense_RNA from 1 species
CGUAGGCGUUCAGCGUGCGCUGACACAGUGCCGAACGCACACAAUCCUGCUUGCCAAAGCGAACAACACCAACCAUGUCAUCCUCUUCAAAACGGUUAAGCGCGUCGCUUAAACCGGACGGUACGCCCGCAGGUAAAUCACACUGAGUGAUAUCGCCGUUGACGAUGACCGUCACGUUUUCCCCGAGGCGGGUG